AACGAACGCUGGCGGCAGGCCUAACACAUGCAAGUCGAGCGAGCAUUUCGGUGCUAGCGGCGGACGGGUGAGUAACGCGUGGGAACGUGCCCUUUUCUGCGGAAUAGUCCUGGGAAACUGGGGGUAAUACCACAUACGCCCUUUUGGGGAAAGAUUUAUCGGAGAAGGAUCGGCCCGCGUUGGAUUAGGUAGUUGGUGGGGUAAUGGCCCACCAAGCCGACGAUCCAUAGCUGGUUUGAGAGGAUGAUCAGCCACACUGGGACUGAGACACGGCCCAGACUCCUACGGGAGGCAGCAGUGGGGAAUCUUAGACAAUGGGGGCAACCCUGAUCUAGCCAUGCCGCGUGAGUGAUGAAGGCCUUAGGGUUGUAAAGCUCUUUCAGCUGGGAAGAUAAUGACGGUACCAGCAGAAGAAGCCCCGGCUAACUCCGUG
rnacentral:rRNA from 1 species